GGUAGGGUGGCCGAAGCUAGGCGGCGGGUUGUAGCCCCGAAGAUAGGGGUUUAAGUCCUCUUCCUACCA
rnacentral:tRNA from 4 species